rnacentral:tRNA from 1 species
AAAAAUGAAGCAAUCAUUGCAAUCAGUUUCGGCCUGAUCCUAGGACCCCCCCCCCAUUUUUA